GACGAACGCUGGCGGCGUGCCUAAUACAUGCAAGUCGAGCGAACAGACGAGGAGCUUGCUCCUCUGACGUUAGCGGCGGACGGGUGUGUAACACGUGGAUAACCCACCUAUAUGACUGGGAUCAUUUCGGGACACCGGCUCUAAUACCGGAUAAUAUAUUGAACCGCAGGGUUCAAUAGUGAAAGACGGUUUUGCUGUCACUUAUAGAUGGAUCUGCGCCGCUUUAGCUAGUUGGUAAGGUAACGGCUUAUCACGGCGACGAUGCGUAUCCGAACUGAGAGGGUGGUCGGCCACACGGGAAGGGGGACACGGUCAAGACUACUACGGGACGCAGCAGUAGGGAAUCUGACGCAAUGGUCGAAAACAUGGCGGAGCAACGCCACGUGAGAUGUGAAGGCCUCCGGAGCGUGAAGCUCUGUUAUGAGGGAAAAACAGAUGUGUAAUGAACUAAGCACGUAUUGACGGUACUGAAUCAGAAAGCCACGGCUAACUACGUG
rnacentral:rRNA from 1 species